rnacentral:rRNA from 1 species
ACGUAGGGUGCAAGCGUUAAUCGGAAUUACUGGGCGUAAAGCGUGCGCAGGCGGUUUCGUAAGUCUGAUGUGAAAUCCCCGGGCUUAACCUGGGAAUUGCAUUGGAGACUGCGAGGCUAGAAUCUGGCAGAGGGGGGUAGAAUUCCACGUGUAGCAGUGAAAUGCGUAGAGAUGUGGAGGAACACCGAUGGCGAAGGCAGCCCCCUGGGUCAAGAUUGACGCUCAUGCACGAAAGCGUGGGGAGCAAACAGGA